GAGGGUGAACUAGCUUAACUAGGCUUGUCAGACUAGGGAAUCUGAAGAAGGAGGACAUUGCUGGUGAUUAAGCAGGGCUUCAUCUUUUAAAAAUAAAAGAUAGCAUUAACUAUAUUUCACCAGAAAAAAACAGUUGCUUGGAGGAGCAGUGCAAAAUCUUAAAGGAAUGAAGGUUGAAGCAAGAUUAUUGUGCCAAACCAGUAAAAAGAAUUGUCAGUCACAGUGAUUGCAAUACAAUGGCAUUCCAUAGUGUAUUAAUGUGUCUGUGUUCAUUGAUGGAACCACAAUCCAGUGUACAGUAACUUGAAAGAAGAUGGCGACUAGAAAACCUUUUGAAUUAUUUUUUU